UGCAGGACUGAGAGUCUUAGCUUCUGGCUGCCUGUUGACUGCCUGAGCUCCUAGAGGAGUUAGAAUCUGCUCCUACUUCCCAGCCCUGUGAGCUUUCCCAACACAGCCACAUCCUUCCUCACAUCAGUAUGGAGAGUCUAUAGAAUGAAUGUACUAGCAGGAAAGAGUCUUGUACACUGUGACAUAAUCACGAGAGGGAAAAGACAAAGAAUCUAGCGCAGAAAGAAAGUAACCCCACAAGACAGAUCUUGCUUAGCCUGUAGUUACAGAGGACGGGACCAAUGGUGAGAAGUUAAAUAAAUUGCUCAGGCAAACCAAGCCUCCCAGAGCUGGAACAAGAAUCAAAACCAAAUGCUUCUCUGAAUCAAGAGCCUCAGCUUUACGUGGUUCUUAACCGAAGCCCUGCUUAGCAUCAAUCCUUAACGCAAAAAACUGCAUCAUUUAUAUGUGAAAACCUCCUUCAUUGUGUGAAUUAAAUAUGUCCUCUACAAUCUUGUUUACGUUACUUCAUUGAACAACAGACAACUCCAAGCUAUAAAAAUGGGUUUCCCAGUGAAUUCUCAUCGUUCAGGCUUUGUGGCCAUGAUCUGCUUUGUACCUAAUUUCAACAUCCCUGCUCUGUGAUAGAGAGGAUGUCAUCUGCGCGUGUACGAGGUGUCCACGUAAUGAGGGGCUAUUUAUGUCUAGUCACUGUCUGCUUAAUCAAUCCCUUCCUGGCCCUGCGCCUUCCUGGCAACAGAGCCCCGGCCUCUAAAAAGAUGGCGUGGGGCACUGAAAACAGGGUGCUGUCAGGAUUGGGGCUUCAUCGCUUGUGAGCAGCUGCCGGCACAGCAGUCCUGGGACUUUCACGAGGCUGCUCUGAAUAUGUUCACAGCCGAGGAGGCUGACCCCAUGCUGCUAAGUCAAAGCCUGUCUGCUGGAGAGCCCUGGCUUCGUCCUACUGCAUACAGACAGCCUUUCUAGGAGGAGACACUUUAUGCUUCUGUCAAACAGA